AACGAACGCUGGCGGCAGGCCUAACACAUGCAAGUCGAACGCCGUAGCAAUACGGAGUGGCAGACGGGUGAGUAACGCGUGGGAACAUACCCCCUCGGUUCGGAAUAACUCAGGGAAACUUGAGCUAAUACCGGAUACGUCCGAUGUUUUAAUCGACCUUGGAGAAAGAUUUAUCGCCGGAGGAUUGGCCCGCGUCUGAUUAGCUUGUUGGUGAGGUAAUGGCUCACCAAGGCGACGAUCAGUAGCUGGUCUGAGAGGAUGAUCAGCCACAUUGGGACUGAGACACGGCCCAAACUCCUACGGGAGGCAGCAGUGGGGAAUAUUGGACAAUGGGCGAAAGCCUGAUCCAGCCAUGCCGCGUGAGUGAUGAAGGCC
rnacentral:rRNA from 1 species